rnacentral:pre_miRNA from 1 species
ACCUGGCCAGGCAUUCCAACUGUCCAUCCAAGUACUUUAUCGGACAAUUGGUAUCCCUGUCAAGGUCU